GGACUACAGGGGUUUCUAAUCCUGUUUGCUCCCCACGCUUUCGUGUCUCAGCGUCAGUACAUGGCCAGAUAGCCGCCUUCGCCGCCGGUGUUCCUCCUGAUAUCUACGUAUUUCACCACUACACCAGGAAUUCCACUAUCCUCUCCAGUACUCAAGCCAAGCAGUAUCAGAAGCACUUCCCAGGUUAAGCCCGGGGCUUUCACAACUGACUUACAAGGCCACCUACACACGCUUUACGCCCAAUGAUUCCGAACAACGCUAGGACCCCUCGUCUUACCGCGGCUGCUGGCAC
rnacentral:rRNA from 1 species